rnacentral:rRNA from 1 species
UGGGGAAUAUUGCACAAUGGGGGAAACCCUGAUGCAGCAACGCCGCGUGAAGGAUGAAGGUUUUCGGAUCGUAAACUUCUAUCAAUAGGGACGAAGAAAGUGACGGUACCUAAAUAAGAAGCCCCGGCUAACUACGUGCCAGCAGCCGCGGUAAUACGUAGGGGGCAAGCGUUAUCCGGAAUUACUGGGUGUAAAGGGAGCGUAGGCGGCACGCCAAGCCAGAUGUGAAAGCCCGAGGCUUAACCUCGCGGAUUGCAUUUGGAACUGGCGAGCUAGAGUACAGGAGAGGAAAGCGGAAUUCCUAGUGUAGCGGUGAAAUGCGUAGAUAUUAGGAAGAACACCAGUGGCGAAGGCGGCUUUCUGGACUGAAACUGACGCUGAGGCUCGAAAGCGUGGGGAGCAAACA